UGGGCGCGUGGUGGAGUGGUUACCACGUCCGCUUUGCAUUCUGACUGAUAGCGGUAGGUCGCGGGUUCAAAUCCCGUCGUGUCCA
rnacentral:tRNA from 1 species